rnacentral:rRNA from 1 species
UAGAGUUUGAUCAUGGCUCAGAUUGAACGCUGGCGGCAGGCCUAACACAUGCAAGUCGAGCGGUAGCACAGGAGAGCUUGCUCUCUGGGUGACGAGCGGCGGACGGGUGAGUAAUGUCUGGGAAACUGCCUGAUGGAGGGGGAUAACUACUGGAAACGGUAGCUAAUACCGCAUAACGUCUUCGGACCAAAGUGGGGGACCUUCGGGCCUCACGCCAUCAGAUGUGCCCAGAUGGGAUUAGCUAGUAGGUGGGGUAAUGGCUCACCUAGGCGACGAUCCCUAGCUGGUCUGAGAGGAUGACCAGCCACACUGGAACUGAGACACGGUCCAGACUCCUACGGGAGGCAGCAGUGGGGAAUAUUGCACAAUGGGCGCAAGCCUGAUGCAGCCAUGCCGCGUGUGUGAAGAAGGCCUUCGGGUUGUAAAGCACUUUCAGCGAGGAGGAAGGGCAGUGUGUUAAUAGCACAUUGCAUUGACGUUACUCGCAGAAGAAGCACCGGCUAACUCCGUGCCAGCAACCGCGGUAAUACGGAGGGUGCAAGCGUUAAUCGGAAUUACUGGGCGUAAAGCGCACGCAGGCGGUUUGUUAAGUCAGAUGUGAAAUCCCCGCGCUUAACGUGGGAACUGCAUUUGAAACUGGCAAGCUAGAGUCUUGUAGAGGGGGGUAGAAUUCCAGGUGUAGCGGUGAAAUGCGUAGAGAUCUGGAGGAAUACCGGUGGCGAAGGCGGCCCCCUGGACAAAGACUGACGCUCAGGUGCGAAAGCGUGGGGAGCAAACAGGAUUAGAUACCCUGGUAGUCC